ensembl:snRNA U6 U6 spliceosomal RNA
GUGCUCUCUUUGGCAGCACAUGGAGUAAAAUCAGAAUAAUGCAGAUAAAAUUAGCAUGGCCUAUGCCUAAAGACGACUUGCAAAUUUCUGAAGCAUUCCAUAUUUUU